GGGUUGUGAGGUUAAGCGACUAAGCGUACACGGUGGAUGCCUAGGCAGUCAGAGGCGAUGAAGGACGUGCUAAUCUGCGAAAAGCGUCGGUAAGCUGAUAUGAAGCGAUAUAGCCGGCGAUGUCCGAAUGGGGAAACCCAGUGCAAUGCGUUGCACUAUCAUUAACUGAAUCCAUAGGUUAAUGAGGCGAACCGGGGGAACUGAAACAUCUCAGUACCCCGAGGAAAAGAAAUCAACCGAGAUUCCCCCAGUAGCGGCGAGCGAACGGGGAGGAGCCCAGAACCAGCAUCAGCCACAGCAUCAGAGGAACGGUCUGGAAAGGCCGGCGAGAGAGGGUGACAGCCCCGUACUCGAAGAUGGCGUGGUUGUGAGUUCGACGAGUAAGGCGGGACACGAGAAAUCCUGUCUGAAUAUGGGGGGACCAUCCUCCAAGGCUAAAUACUCCUGACUGACCGAUAGUGAACCAGUACCGUGAGGGAAAGGCGAAAAGAACCCCGGCGAGGGGAGUGAAAGAGAACCUGAAACCGUGUACGUACAAGCAGUGGGAGCC
rnacentral:rRNA from 2 species